rnacentral:rRNA from 1 species
GGAUGAGCCCGCGGCCUAUCAGCUUGUUGGUGGGGUAAUGGCCCACCAAGGCGACGACGGGUAGCCGGCCUGAGAGGGCGACCGGCCACACUGGGACUGAGACACGGCCCAGACUCCUACGGGAGGCAGCAGUGGGGAAUAUUGCACAAUGGGCGAAAGCCUGAUGCAGCGACGCCGCGUGAGGGAUGACGGCCUUCGGGUUGUAAACCUCUUUCAGCAGGGAAGAAGCGAAAGUGACGGUACCUGCAGAAGAAGCGCCGGCUAACUACGUGCCAGCAGCCGCGGUAAUACGUAGGGCGCAAGCGUUGUCCGGAAUUAUUGGGCGUAAAGAGCUCGUAGGCGGCUUGUCACGUCGGAUGUGAAAGCCCGAGGCUUAACCUCGGGUCUGCAUUCGAUACGGGCUAGCUAGAGUGUGGUAGGGGAGAUCGGAAUUCCUGGUGUAGCGGUGAAAUGCNCANAUAUCAGGAGGAACACCGGUGGCGAAGGCGGAUCUCUGGGCCAUUACUGACGCUGAGGAGCGAAAGCGUGGGGAGCGAAC